rnacentral:rRNA from 1 species
GACGAACGCUGGCGGCGUGCUUAACACAUGCAAGUCGAACGGAAAGGCCCUGCUUUUGUGGGGUGCUCGAGUGGCGAACGGGUGAGUAACACGUGAGUAACCUGCCCUUGACUCUGGGAUAACUUCAGGAAACUGGGGCUAAUACCGGACAGGAGCUCCUGCUGCAUGGUGGGGGUUGGAAAGUUUCGGCGGUUGGGGAUGGACUCGCGGCUUAUCAGCUUGUUGGUGGGGUAGUGGCUUACCAAGGCUUUGACGGGUAGCCGGCCUGAGAGGGUGACCGGCCAACUUGGGACUGAGAUACGGCCGAGACUCGUGCGGGAGGCAGCAGUGGGGGAUAUUGCACGAUGGGCGGAAGCCUGAUGCAGCAACGCCGCGUGCUGGAUGACGGCCUUCGUGUUGUAGACCGCUUUCGCCUGUGACGAAGCGUGAGUGACGGUAAUGGGUAAAGAAGCACCGGCUAACUACGUG